rnacentral:rRNA from 1 species
GGUUACUGCUAUCGGUGUUCGCCUAAGCCAUGCGAGUCAUAUGUUCGUAAGAACAUGGCGUACUGCUCAGUAACACGUGGAUAACCUGCCCUUGGGUCCGGCAUAACCCCGGGAAACUGGGGAUAAUUCCGGAUAACGCACAUAUGCUGGAAUGCUUUUUGCGUAAAAUGGAUUCGUCUGCCCAAGGAUGGGUCUGCGGCCUAUCAGGUAGUAGUGGGUGUAAUGUACCUACUAGCCUACGACGGGUACGGGUUGUGAGAGCAAGAGCCCGGAGACGGAUUCUGAGACAUGAAUCCAGGCCCUACGGGGCGCAGCAGGCGCGAAAACUUUACAAUGCGGGAAACCGUGAUAAGGGGACACCGAGUGCCAGCAUCCUAUGCUGGCUGUCCGGGUGUGUAAAAUACACCUGUUAGCAAGGGCCGGGCAAGACCGGUGCCAGCCGCCGCGGUAACACCGGCGGCCCGAGUGGUGAUCGUGAUUAUUGGGUCUAAAGGGUCCGUAGCCGGUUUGGUCAGUCCUCCGGGAAAUCUGACAGCUCAACUGUUAGGCUAUCGGAGGAUACUGCCAGACUUGGAACCGGGAGAGGUAAGAGGUACUACAGGGGUAGGAGUGAAAUCUUGUAAUCCCUGUGGGACCACCUGUGGCGAAGGCGUCUUACCAGAACGGGUUCGACGGUGAGGGACGAAAGCUGGGGGCACGAACCGGAUUAGAUACCCGGGUAGUCCCAGCCGUAAACGAUGCUCGCUAGGUGUCAGGCAUGGCGCGACCGUGUCUGGUGCCGCAGGGAAGCCGUGAAGCGAGCCACCUGGGAAGUACGGCCGCAAGGCUGAAACUUAA